rfam:Tncinocarpus reesii 1704 scaffold_2 genomic scaffold, whole genome shotgun sequence.
GCUCCAAUGGUCUAGUGGUAUGACGCUUGCCUUCCAAGCAAGCUGCCCGUGUUCGAUUCACGGUUGGUGCA